CAGCAGCCGCGGGAACACGGAGGGUGCAAGCGUUAAUCGGAAUUACUGGGCGUAAAGCGUGCGUAGGCGGUUCGUUAAGCCUGUUGUGAAAGCCCCGGGCUCAACCUGGGAAUGGCAAUGGAUACUGGCGAGCUAGAGUGUGUCAGAGGAUGGUGGAAUUCCCGGUGUAGCGGUGAAAUGCGUAGAGAUCGGGAGGAACAUCAGUGGCGAAGGCGGCCAUCUGGGACAACACUGACGCUGAGGCACGAAAGCGUGGGGAGCAAACAGGAUUAGAUACCCCGGUAGUCCCUGUCUCUUAUAA
rnacentral:rRNA from 1 species